UGCGUAGGUGGCAUGGUAAGUUUGAUGUGAAAGCUCAGGGCUCAACCCUGAAAUGGCAUUGAAUACUACUGUGCUGGAGGUUUGGAGGGGGGGACUGGAAUUCUUGGUGUAGCAGUGAAAUGCGUAGAUAUCAAGAGGAACACCAGUGGCGAAGGCGAGUCCCUGGACAACACCUGACACUGAGGCACGAAAGCUAGGGGAGCAAACA
rnacentral:rRNA from 1 species